rnacentral:tRNA from 1 species
GGCCCCGUAGCUCAGUGGUUAGAGCGACGGCCUUAUAAGCCGCAGGUCGCUAGUUCGAUUCUAGCCGGGGCUA